rnacentral:rRNA from 1 species
ACUCCUACGGGAGGCAGCAGUGGGGAAUAUUGCACAAUGGGGGGAACCCUGAUGCAGCGACGCCGCGUGGGUGAAGAAGUCAUUCGUGACGUAAAGCCCUAUCAGCAGGGAAGAAAAUGACGGUACCUGACUAAGAAGCCCCGGCUAACUACGUGCCAGCAGCCGCGGUAAUACGUAGGGGGCAAGCGUUAUCCGGAUUUACUGGGUGUAAAGGGGGCGCAGACGGCAAUGCAAGCCAGGAGUGAAAGCCCGGGGCCCAACCCCGGGACUGCUCUUGGAACUGCAUGGCUGGAGUACAGGAGGGG